rnacentral:rRNA from 1 species
GGGGAAUAUUGGACAAUGGACCACAAGUCUGAUCCAGCAAUUCUGUGUGCACGAUGACGUUUUUCGGAAUGUAAAGUGCUUUCAGUCGGGAAGAAGUCAGUGACGGUACCGACAGAAGAAGCGACGGCUAAAUACGUGCCAGCAGCCGCGGUAAUACGUAUGUCGCAAGCGUUAUCCGGAUUUAUUGGGCGUAAAGCGCGUCUAGGCGGCAAGGAAAGUCUGAUGUGAAAAUGCGGAGCUCAACUCCGUAUGGCGUUGGAAACUGCCUUACUAGAGUACUGGAGAGGUAGGCGGAACUACAAGUGUAGAGGUGAAAUUCGUAGAUAUUUGUAGGAAUGCCGAUGGGGAAGCCAGCCUACUGGACAGAUACUGACGCUAAAGCGCGAAAGCGUGGGUAGCAAACAGGAUUAGAUACCCUGGUAGUCCACGCUGUAAACGAUGAUUACUAGGUGUUGGGGGUCAAACCUCAACGCCCAAGCUAACGCGAUAAGUAAUCCGCCUGGGGAGUACGUACGCAAGUAUG